rnacentral:rRNA from 1 species
GGGUUCCAGGAAAUAGCCCCACCGUAUAGACCGUACCCGAAACCGACACAGGUGGUCAGGUAGAGUAUACCAAGGCGCUUGAGAGAAGUAUCCUGAAGGAACUCGGCAAAUUGCCUCCGUACCUUCGGAAGAAGGAGGCCCCGGCUAUGCGCAAGCACUGUCGGGGGGCACAGGCCAGGGGGUAGCGACUGUUUAGCAAAAACACAGGACUCUGCUAAGUCGGCUUCAAGACGACGUAUAGGGUCUGACGCCUGCCCGGUGCCGGAAGGUUAAGAGGAGGAGUGCAAGCUCCGAAUUGAAGCCCCGGUAAACGGCGGCCGUAACAAUACCGGUCCUAAGGUAGCGAAAUUCCUUGUCGGGUAAGUUCCGACCUGCACGAAUGGCGUAACGACUUCCCCACUGUCUCCAGGAUAUGCUCAGCGAAAUUGAAUUCUCCGUGAAGAUGCGGAGUACCCGCGGUUAGACGGAAAGACCCCGUGCACCAUUACUGCAGCUUCAGAGUGGCAUUAGGAAGAAAUUGUGUAGCAUAGGUGGGAGGCUUUGAAGCAUCGGCGCCAGCUGAUGUGGAGCCAUAGGUGAAAUACCACCCUGUUUGUUUCUGAUGUCUAACUUCGCACCGUUAUCCGGUGCAAGGACCCUCUGUGGCGGGUAGUUUGACUGGGGCGGUCGCCUCCUAAAGAGCAACGGAGGCGCGCGAUGGUAGGCUCAGGCCGGUUGGAAACCGGCUGUUAGAGUGCAAUGGCAUAAGCCUGCCUGACUGCGAGACUGACGAGUCGAGCAGAGACGAAAGUCGGUCAUAGUGAUCCGGUGGUCCCUCGUGGAAGGGCCAUCGCUCAACGGAUAAAGGGUACGCCGGGGAUAACAGGCUGAUGAUUCCCAAGAGCUCAUAUCGACGGAAUCGUUUGGCACCUCGAUGUCGGCUCAUCACAUCCUGGGGCUGGAGCAGGUCCCAAGGGUUUGGCUGUUCGCCAAUUAAAGUGGUACGUGAGCUGGGUUCAGAACGUCGCGAGACAGUUUGGUCCCUAUCUGCCGUGGGCGUCGAUACUUGAGAGGAGUUGCCCCUAGUACGAGAGGACCGGGGUGAACAUGCCUCUGGUGUACCUGUCGUGGCGCCAGCCGCGCAGCAGGGUAGCUAUGCAUGGACGGGAUAACCGCUGAAAGCAUCUAAGCGGGAAGCCUCCCUCAAGAUUAGGUAUCAUCGAGUCGUGGUAGACCACCACGUUGAUAGGCUGGAUGUGGAAGCGCGGUAACGUGUGGAGCUAACCAGUCCUAAUAACUCAAU